rnacentral:rRNA from 1 species
UGGCCUACGGGGGGCAGCAGUAGGGAAUAUUGGUUAAUGUGCGAAAGCGCGAACCAGCAACGCCGCGUGUGCGAUGAAGGCCUUCGGGUCGUAAAGCACUUUUUGCAGGGAAGAGGAAGGACGGUACCUGCAGAAUAAGUCUCGGCUAACUACGUGCCAGCAGCCGCGGUAAAACGUAGGAGACGAGCGUUAUCCGGAUUUACUGGGCGUAAAGCGCGUGCAGGCGGCAUGGCAAGUUGGAUGUGAAAGCUCCCGGCUUAACUGGGAGAGGUCGUUCAAUACUGCCAGGCUUGAGAGUGGUAGAGGGAAGCGGAAUUCCGGGUGUAGUGGUGAAAUGCGUAGAUAUCCGGAGGAACACCAGUGGCGAAAGCGGCUUCCUGGCCCAUUUCUGACGCUCAGACGCGAAAGCUAGGGUAGCAAACGGGAUUAGAUACCCUGGUAGUC